rnacentral:tRNA from 1 species
GCCUGGGGGGCUCAGUCGGUUGAGCGUCCGACUUCGGCUCAGGUCACGAUCUCGCGGUUCGUGGGUUCGAGCCCCGCGUCGGGCU